rnacentral:rRNA from 1 species
GACGAACGCUGGCGGUGUGCUUAACACAUGCAAGUCGAACGGUAAGGCCCUUUCGGGGGUACACGGGUGGCGACCGGGAGGGUAACACGUGAGUAACCUGCCCUCCUCUCUGGGAUAAGAGUCGGAAACGGUUGCUAUUACUGGAUAUGGACUUGCAAGGCAUCUUGUGGGUUGGAAAGAUUUUUUUGGGUUGGGGAUGGACUCGCGGCCUAUCAGCUUGUUGGUGAGGUAGUGGCUCACCAAGGCGUCGACGGGUAGCCGGCCUGUGAGGGCGACCGGCCACAUUGGGACUGGGAGACGGCCCAAACUACUACGGGAGGCAGCAGUGGGGAAGAUUGGACGAUGGACGCAAGGCUGAGGCAGCAACGCCGCGUGCGGGAUGACGGCCUUGGGGUUGUAAACCGCUUUCAAUCGUGACGAAGCGUUUUUGUGACGGUAGCAGUAGAAGAAGCACAGGCGAAGUACGGG